UACGUAGGGUGCGAGCGUUGUCCGGAAUCAUUGGGCGUAAAGAGCGUGUAGGCGGCUCGGUAAGUCCGCUCUGAAAGCCCGGGGCUCAACCCCGGGAGGCGGGCGGAUACUGUCGGGCUAGAGUCCGGAAGAGGCGAGUGGAAUUCCUGGUGUAGCGGUGAAAUGCGCAGAUAUCGGAAGGAACACCUGUGGCGAAAGCGGCGCACUGGACCAAAACUGACGCUGAGGCGCGAAAGCUAGGGGAGCAAACAGG
rnacentral:rRNA from 1 species